ACUCAAAUGAAUUGACGGGGGCCCGCACAAGCGGUGGAGCAUGUGGCUUAAUUCGAUGCAACGCGAAGAACCUUACCAGGCCUUGACAUGCACUAGACGAACAUUGAAAGGUGUUUUCCCUUCGGGGCUGGUGCACAGGUGCUGCAUGGCUGUCGUCAGCUCGUGUCGUGAGAUGUUGCGUUAAGUCGCGCAACGAGCGCAACCCCUGUCCUUAGUUGCCAUCAUUAAGUUGGGCACUCUAGGGAGACAAACCCUCUUUGAGGGUGGGAAGGUGGGGAUGACGUCAAGUCAGGAUGGCCCUUACGGCCUGGGCUGCACACGUGCUACAAUGCCCGAUACAGAGGGAAGCAAUACCGCGAGGUGGAGCAAAUCCUGAAAAUCGGGCCCAGUUCAGAUUGUAGUCUGCAACUCGACUACAUGAAGUUGGAAUCGCUAGUAAUGGCGUAUCAGCUACGACGCCGUGAAUACGUUCCCGGGCCUUGUACACACCGCCCGU
rnacentral:rRNA from 1 species